rnacentral:rRNA from 1 species
AAGGUUAAGCCUCACGGUUCAUUAGUACCGGUUAGCUCAACGCAUCGCUGCGCUUACACACCCGGCCUAUCAACGUCGUCGUCUUCAACGUUCCUUCAGGACUCUCAAGGAGUCAGGGAGAACUCAUCUCGGGGCAAGUUUCGUGCUUAGAUGCUUUCAGCACUUAUCUCUUCCGCAUUUAGCUACCGGGCAGUGCCAUUGGCAUGACAACCCGAACACCAGUGAUGCGUCCACUCCGGUCCUCUCGUACUAGGAGCAGCCCCCCUCAGUUCUCCAGCGCCCACGGCAGAUAGGGACCGAACUGUCUCACGACGUUCUAAACCCAGCUCGCGUACCACUUUAAAUGGCGAACAGCCAUACCCUUGGGACCUACUUCAGCCCCAGGAUGUGAUGAGCCGACAUCGAGGUGCCAAACACCGCCGUCGAUAUGAACUCUUGGGCGGUAUCAGCCUGUUAUCCCCGGAGUACCUUUUAUCCGUUGAGCGAUGGCCCUUCCAUUCAGAACCACCGGAUCACUAUGACCUGCUUUCGCACCUGCUCGCGCCGUCACGCUCGCAGUCAAGCUGGCUUAUGCCAUUGCACUAACCUCCUGAUGUCCGACCAGGAUUAGCCAACCUUCGUGCUCCUCCGUUACUCUUUAGGAGGAGACCGCCCCAGUCAAACUACCCACCAGACACUGUCCGCAACCCGGAUUACGGGUCAACGUUAGAACAUCAAACAUUAAAGGGUGGUAUUUCAAGGUCGGCUCCAUGCAGACUGGCGUCCACACUUCAAAGCCUCCCACCUAUCCUACACAUCAAGGCUCAAUGUUCAGUGUCAAGCUAUAGUAAAGGUUCACGGGGUCUUUCCGUCUUGCCGCGGGUACACUGCAUCUUCACAGCGAGUUCAAUUUCACUGAGUCUCGGGUGGAGACAGCCUGGCCAUCAUUACGCCAUUCGUGCAGGUCGGAACUUACCCGACAAGGAAUUUCGCUACCUUAGGACCGUUAUAGUUACGGCCGCCGUUUACCGGGGCUUCGAUCAAGAGCUUCGCUUGCGCUGACCCCAUCAAUUAACCUUCCGGCACCGGGCAGGCGUCACACCGUAUACGUCCACUUUCGUGUUUGCACAGUGCUGUGUUUUUAAUAAACAGUUGCAGCCAGCUGGUAUCUUCGACUGAUUUCAGCUCCAUCCGCGAGGGACUUCACCUACAUAUCAGCGUGCCUUCUCCCGAAGUUACGGCACCAUUUUGCCUAGUUCCUUCACCCGAGUUCUCUCAAGCGCCUUGGUAUUCUCUACCUGACCACCUGUGUCGGUUUGGGGUACGAUUUGAUGUUACCUGAUGCUUAGAGGCUUUUCCUGGAAGCAGGGCAUUUGUUGCUUCAGCACCGUAGUGCCUCGUCAUCACGCCUCAGCCUUGAUUUUCCGGAUUUGCCUGGAAAACCAGCCUACACGCUUAAACCGGGACAACCGUCGCCCGGCCAACAUAGCCUUCUCCGUCCCCCCUUCGCAGUAACACCAAGUACAGGAAUAUUAACCUGUUUCCCAUCGACUACGCCUUUCGGCCUCGCCUUAGGGGUCGACUCACCCUGCCCCGAUUAACGUUGGACAGGAACCCUUGGUCUUCCGGCGAGCGGGCUUUUCACCCACUUUAUCGUUACUUAUGUCAGCAUUCGCACUUCUGAUACCUCCAGCAUACCUCACAGUACACCUUCACAGGCUUACAGAACGCUCCCCUACCCAACAACACACAGUGUCGCUGCCGCAGCUUCGGUGCAUGGUUUAGCCCCGUUACAUCUUCCGCGCAGGCCGACUCGACCAGUGAGCUAUUACGCUUUCUUUAAAUGAUGGCUGCUUCUAAGCCAACAUCCUGGCUGUCUGGGCCUUCCCACAUCGUUUCCCACUUAACCAUGACUUUGGGACCUUAGCUGGCGGUCUGGGUUGUUUCCCUCUUCACGACGGACGUUAGCACCCGCCGUGUGUCUCCCGUGAUAACAUUCUCCGGUAUUCGCAGUUUGCAUCGGGUUGGUAAGUCGGGAUGACCCCCUUGCCGAAACAGUGCUCUACCCCCGGAGAUGAAUUCACGAGGCGCUACCUAAAUAGCUUUCGGGGAGAACCAGCUAUCUCCCGGUUUGAUUGGCCUUUCACCCCCAGCCACAAGUCAUCCGCUAAUUUUUCAACAUUAGUCGGUUCGGUCCUCCAGUUAGUGUUACCCAACCUUCAACCUGCCCAUGGCUAGAUCACCGGGUUUCGGGUCUAUACCCUGCAACUUAACGCCCAGUUAAGACUCGGUUUCCCUUCGGCUCCCCUAUUCGGUUAACCUUGCUACAGAAUAUAAGUCGCUGACCCAUUAUACAAAAGGUACGCAGUCACACAGAUUGCUCUGUGCUCCCACUGCUUGUACGUACACGGUUUCAGGUUCUUUUUCACUCCCCUCGCCGGGGUUCUUUUCGCCUUUCCCUCACGGUACUGGUUCACUAUCGGUCAGUCAGGAGUAUUUAGCCUUGGAGGAUGGUCCCCCCAUAUUCAGACAGGAUACCACGUGUCCCGCCCUACUCAUCGAGCUCACAGUAUGUGCAUUUUUGUGUACGGGGCUGUCACCCUGUAUCGCGCGCCUUUCCAGACGCUUCCACUAACACACACACUGAUUCAGGCUCUGGGCUCCUCCCCGUUCGCUCGCCGCUACUGGGGGAAUCUCGGUUGAUUUCUUUUCCUCGGGGUACUUAGAUGUUUCAGUUCCCCCGGUUCGCCUCAUUAACCUAUGGAUUCAGUUAAUGAUAGUGUGUCGAAACACACUGGGUUUCCCCAUUCGGAAAUCGCCGGUUAUAACGGUUCAUAUCACCUUACCGACGCUUAUCGCAGAUUAGCACGUCCUUCAUCGCCUCUGACUGCCAGGGCAUCCACCGUGUACGCUUAGUCGCUUAA